rnacentral:rRNA from 1 species
AGUGAACGCUGGCGGUAGGCCUAACACAUGCAAGUCGAACGGCAGCACAGUAAGAGCUUGCUCUUACGGGUGGCGAGUGGCGGACGGGUGAGGAAUACAUCGGAAUCUACUUUUUCGUGGGGGAUAACGUAGGGAAACUUACGCUAAUACCGCAUACGACCUACGGGUGAAAGCAGGGGAUCUUCGGACCUUGCGCGAUUGAAUGAGCCGAUGUCGGAUUAGCUAGUUGGCGGGGUAAAGGCCCACCAAGGCGACGAUCCGUAGCUGGUCUGAGAGGAUGAUCAGCCACACUGGACCUGAGACACGGUCCAGCCUCCUACGGGAGGCAGCAGUGGGGAAUAUUGGACAAUGGGCGCAAGCCUGAUCCAGCCAUACCGCGUGGGUGAAGAAGGCCUUCGGGUUGUAAAGCCCUUUUGUUGGGAAAGAAAAGCAGCAGGUUAAUACCCCGCUGUUCUGACGGGACCCAAAGAAUAAGCACCGGCUAACUUCGU